UACGGGGGGGGCAAGCGUUGUUCGGAAUUACUGGGCGUAAAGGGCUCGUAGGCGGCCAACUAAGUCCGACGUGAAAUCCCCAAGCUUAACUUGGGAACUGCGUCGGAUACUGGAUGGCUUGAAUUCGGGAGAGGGAUGCAGAAUUCCAGGUGUAGCGGUGAAAUGCGUAGAUAUCUGGAGGAAUACCGGUGGCGAAGGCGGCAUCCUGGACCGACAUUGACGCUGAUGAGCGAAAGCUAGGGGAGCAAACGGG
rnacentral:rRNA from 1 species